rnacentral:rRNA from 1 species
UACGUAGGUGACAAGCGUUGUCCGGAUUUACUGGGCGUAAAGAGCGCGCAGGCGGUCGUUCAAGUCGAGUGUGAAAGCCCCCGGCUCAACUGGGGAGGGUCACUCGAUACUGAUCGACUCGAAGGCAGGAGAGGGUAGUGGAAUUCCCGGUGUAGUGGUGAAAUGCGUAGAUAUCGGGAGGAACACCAGUGGCGAAGGCGGUUCUCUGGGCAUUACCUGACGCUGAGGAGCGAAAGUGUGGGGAGCGAACAGG